rnacentral:rRNA from 1 species
CCGGGUACAGAGGGCGGCGAAGCCGCGAGGUGGAGCGAAUCCCAAAAAGCCGGUCUAAGUUCGGAUUGCAGGCUGCAACCCGCCUGCAUGAAGUCGGAAUCGCUAGUAAUCGCGAGUCAGCAUAUCGCGGUGAAUACGUUCCCGGGUCUUGUACACACCGCCCGUCACACCAUGGGAGUUGGCAACACCCGAAGUCGAUGAGCUAACCGCAAGGAGGCAGUCGCCUAAGGUGGGGUUGAUAACUGGGGUGAAGUCGUAACAAGGUACC